rnacentral:rRNA from 1 species
ACGAGGGGGGCGAGCGUUGUUCGGAAUUAUUGGGCGUAAAGGGCGCGUAGGCGGCUGGAUAAGUCUUGUGUGAAAUCUUCGGGCUCAACUCGAAGUCUGCACGGGAAACUAUCCGGCUUGAGUGUGGGAGAGGUGAGUGGAAUUCCUGGUGUAGCGGUGAAAUGCGUAGAUAUCAGGAGGAACACCUGUGGCGAAAGCGGCUCACUGGACCACAACUGACGCUGAGGCGCGAAAGCUAGGGGAGCAAACAG